UAACACGUGGGCAAUCUGCCCUGUACUUUGGGAUAAGCCUGGGAAACUGGGUCUAAUACCGGAUAUCACCGGUCCUCGCAUGGGGGUUGGUUGAAAGUUCUGGCGGUACAGGAUGAGCCCGCGGCCUAUCAGCUUGUUGGUGGGGUAAUGGCCUACCAAGGCGACGACGGGUAGCCGGCCUGAGAGGGUGACCGGCCACACUGGGACUGAGACACGGCCCAGACUCCUACGGGAGGCAGCAGUGGGGAAUAUUGCACAAUGGGCGAAAGCCUGAUGCAGCGACGCCGCGUGAGGGAUGACGGCCUUCGGGUUGUAAACCUCUUUCGCCAGGGACGAAGCGCAAGUGACGGUACCUGGAUAAGAAGCACCGGCUAACUACGUGCCAGCAGCCGCGGUAAUACGUAGGGUGCGAGCGUUGUCCGGAAUUAUUGGGCGUAAAGAGCUCGUAGGCGGUUUGUCGCGUCGUUCGUGAAAACUCCACGCUUAACGUGGAGCGUGCGGGCGAUACGGGCAGACUUGAGUUCGGUAGGGGAGACUGGAAUUCCUGGUGUAGCGGUGAAAUGCGCAGAUAUCAGGAGGAACACCGGUGGCGAAGGCGGGUCUCUGGGCCGAUACUGACGCUGAGGAGCGAAAGCGUGGGGAGCGAACAGGAUUAGAUACCCUGGUAGUCCACGCUGUAAACGUUGGGCGCUAGGUGUGGGCGACAUCCACGUUGUCCGUGCCGUAGCUAACGCAUUAAGCGCCCCGCCU
rnacentral:rRNA from 1 species